rnacentral:rRNA from 1 species
UACAGAGGGUGCAAGCGUUAAUCGGAAUUACUGGGCGUAAAGCGUGCGUAGACGGUUAUGUAAGUCAGGUGUGAAAGCCCCGGGCUCAACCUGGGAAUUGCAUUUGAGACUGCAUAGCUAGGGUGCGGAAGAGGGAAGCGGAAUUUCCGGUGUAGCGGUGAAAUGCGUAGAUAUCUGGAGGAACACCGGUGGCGAAGGCGGCAUCCUGGACCGGCAUUGACGCUGAGGCGCGAAAGCUAGGGGAGCAAACGGG